rnacentral:rRNA from 1 species
UGCGUAGGCUGUUUCGUAAGUCGUGUGUGAAAGGCAGGGGCUCAACCCCUGGAUUGCACAUGAUACUGCGAGACUAGAGUAAUGGAGGGGGGAACCGGGAAUUCUCGGUGUAGCAGUGAAAUGCGUAGAUAUCGAGAGGAACACUCGUGGCGAAGGCGGGUUCCUGGACAUUAACUGACGCUGAGGCACGAAGGCCAGGGGGAGCGAAAGG